GGGCGGGUAGCUCAGUUAGGUAGAGCACUCGACUUUUAAUCGAGUGGUCCCGGGUUCGAUCCCCGGUCCGCCCA
rnacentral:tRNA from 1 species